rnacentral:rRNA from 1 species
UACAGAGGUCUCAAGCGUUGUUCGGAUUCAUUGGGCGUAAAGGGCGCGUAGGCGGCGGGGUAAGUCGGGUGUGAAAUCUCAGAGCUCAACUCUGAAAUGGCACUUGAUACUGCUCUGCUAGAGGACUGGAGAGGAGAUUGGAAUUCACGGUGUAGCAGUGAAAUGCGUAGAUAUCGUGAGGAAGACCGGUGGCGAAGGCGGAUCUCUGGGACAGUUCCAUGACGCU